GAUCAAGGAAAUACGAGAGAGUACAGGGGCUCAGGUCCAGGUGGCAGGGGAUAUGCUACCCAACUCAACUGAGCGGGCCAUCACUAUUGCUGGCAUUCCACAAUCCAUCAUUGAGUGUGUCAAACAGAUCUGCGUGGUCAUGUUGGAGACUCUCUCCCAGUCCCCCCCGAAGGGCGUGACCAUCCCGUACCGGCCCAAGCCGUCCAGCUCUCCGGUCAUCUUUGCAGGUGGUCAGUUGACCAAGCUGCACCAGUUGGCAAUGCAACAGUCUCAUUUUCCCAUGACGCAUGGCAACACCGGAUUCAGUGGUAUGGAUACCUCAGUGUUUAUUUCUGUAAGGUGUAGUGCAAGAGAGAGGCCAGUCCCAAGGUCUCAGCUUGACAUCUGUUUAAAACAAACUUCGUUAUCCAGCAUCCUGCUGGUUUAAACUUGCCUGUCUACUAUGGCUAAGCCCAAGGAGGUAAUGUGUUUGUUAACGUGGUUUUCAUUUGGGGUCAGUUAUUCUAAAAGAAAAAAAAAGCCCUGGAAGGUUUGGGGGUGAGGUUUGGGGAUGCUUGUCAGGCAAAGGGUAGGCUGAUAUUUCUUUGAGCCCAUCCUGACUGCUGCCCCCUUGAUCUGAUCAGCACCCCCUUUCUCUCCACCAGCAAUUCACAGGCUUGGGUAGAGACCAUCCAUUUGUGC
rnacentral:sRNA from 1 species